rnacentral:tRNA from 1 species
AUUUUAAUAGUUUAAAAAAAAAUAUUAAAUUGCAAAUUUAAAGAUAAUUUUUAAAAAAUUUUAAGAUU